rnacentral:rRNA from 1 species
CCUACGGGUGGCAGCAGUGGGGAAUAUUGCACAAUGGGGGAAACCCUGAUGCAGCGACGCCGCGUGAGUGAAGAAGUAUUUCGGUAUGUAAAGCUCUGUCAGCAGGGAAGAAAAUGACGGUACCUGACCAAGAAGCCCCGGCUAACUACGUGCCAGCAGCCGCGGUAAUACGUAGGGGGCAAGCGUUAUCCGGAUUUACUGGGUGUAAAGGGAGCGUAGACGGCAGGGCAAGUCUGGAGUGAAAGGCGGGGGCUCAACCCCCGGACUGCUCUGGAAACUGCCAGGCUGGAGUACGGGAGAGGUAAGAGGAAUGCCUAGUGUAGCGGUGAAAUGCGUAGAUAUUAGGAGGAACACCAGAGGCGAAGGCGUCUUACUGGACCGAAACUGACGUUGAGGCUCGAAAGCGUGGGGAGCAAACAGGAUUAGAUACCCUAGUAGUC